GCCUUCUCAGGAUUGCACCUGGAGUGUUUCCAGUACCCUCCAGUCUCAGCUACGGGAGAGGGAGUCAAGCAGAGGCAUACCCUUUUCAUUCCUAGCUUGGCCAGUAGCUAGUGAGUGGAAGGCAAUCUGCUACAAGU